ACGGGAGGCAGCAGUGGGGAAUAUUGCACAAUGGGCGCAAGCCUGAUGCAGCCAUGCCGCGUGUGUGAAGAAGGCCUUCGGGUUGUAAAGCACUUUCAGUCGUGAGGAAGGUAGUGUAGUUAAUAGCUGCAUUACUUGACGUUAGCGACAGAAGAAGCACCGGCUAACUCCGUGCCAGCAGCCGCGGUAAUACGGAGGGUGCGAGCGUUAAUCGGAAUUACUGGGCGUAAAGCGCAUGCAGGUGGUUUGUUAAGUCAGAUGUGAAAGCCCGGGGCUCAACCUCGGAAUAGCAUUUGAAACUGGCAGACUAGAGUACUGUAGAGGGGGGUAGAAUUUCAGGUGUAGCGGUGAAAUGCGUAGAGAUCUGAAGGAAUACCGGUGGCGAAGGCGGCCCCCUGGACAGAUACUGACACUCAGAUGCGAAAGCGUGGGGAGCAAACAGGAUUAGAUACCCUGGUAGUCCACGCCGUAAACGAUGUCUACUUGGAGGUUGUGGCCUUGAGCCGUGGCUUUCGGAGCUAACGCGUUAAGUAGACCGCCUGGGGAGUACGGUCGCAAGAUUAAAACUCAAAUGAAUUGACGGGGGCCCGCACAAGCGGUGGAGCAUGUGGUUUAAUUCGAUGCAACGCGAAGAACCUUACCUACUCUUGACAUCCAGAGAACUUUCCAGAGAUGGAUUGGUGCCUUCGGGAACUCUGAGA
rnacentral:rRNA from 1 species